ACGGGAUUGGAAUUCUACCUUCAGACACAUACAGUCUGGGAGAGGGAUUGGAAGUCUUCCUUCAGACACAUACAGUCCUGGGAGAGGGAUUGGAAGUCUUCCUUCAGACACAUACAGUCUGAGAGAGGGACAUUGGAAGUCUUCCUUCAG